AGUAGUUCACCAAAUCCCUCACAGGCAGUGGAAAUAUCAGCCAGAUGCUGUUUUCCUUUAAGGAAAGGUGUGUGUUUUGGGAUGUAGUUUUUGUCAGCAAAAUGUCUUGACUGUGAAUUAUUAUCUGAACUGCAAUAGUUGCAAAGGAGAAUAUCCUUCAGGCUUUGCAGUAGCUCUGGCUAUGCAGAGUUAACUUCAGCUCUUUGCAGUAUCAGCAGCACACAAAAAUCUGUUGUUACCUCUGCUCAGUCACUCUGGUGUCUGCAGACAAGUUCAGCCUCCAGAAAGCUUCCCUGAAAGUGGCUGAAAUUACUGCUGGGGCAUAGCAGCAUGUGCUGCUGCUUCCUCCACACACUCUACACUUAGAAUCUCCCCCUCCCUCCUCAUGGUUGUGCAGGUAAUCCACUCCUGUUGAACAAUUCCUUGGAUCCUUGAAGGUCCAAGGCAGUGUUUGUGCUUACACUAAGUUAGUCCCUCACAAAAGCUCCAGUUCUUAGGAGUUUUGGAAAAUGGUAACAAAGUCUGUGGUGGGGUAACUUAUCCUGGUGCUGUUCCUUGUUCUCAUGAUGGUGUUUGUUUGUCUUGGUUGUUUGUCUUGGUUGCUCUGGUUCCAAAUGGCUCUUGCAGGAAGGAGAAUGUGCACAGACAUGUGCUCAGGCUGCUGCUGCAUCUGCAUCACAAGGUGGCCCCAGCCAAACUUGAGUCUCUCCAGAAAGCUUUGGAGCCCACCAAGCAGAGUGGGGAAGCUGUGAAGGAGCUUUACAACCAGCUCGGUGAGAAACUGGAGCUCCGCAAGCCCAGCCCAGCAGAAGUGACUGAGACUCCCUCCAUGGAGCUGCCCCUGCCCACGGUGCCCACUCCAGCCUCACGCUGAGCUGUGGCUGCAGGGCAGGACUGGGGGGACAGGAACUGAGCCUGUGCUGCCUUCUGAGUGUCUCUGCCCACGUGGUGGACACAAAAACAAAGCCACUGGAAGCUCCUUCAGGAAACGCUGCAGCUCACCCAGCUCACUGGCUGGUUAGAAAACUGUGUGCAGUGAAUUGCAACGUUUACUUUUCUUAAAGAUAGCUGAGUGUCUUCUUGCAGAUCCACUUAAAAUCUGACUGUACAUUUUUUAAAAAACCAAAAUGAAAUGCAUAUUUUUGA